GGGCCGUUAGCUCAGCUGGCAGAGCAGUGGACUCUUAAUCCAUUGGUCCGGGGUUCGAAUCCCUGACGGCCCACCA
rnacentral:tRNA from 1 species